rnacentral:rRNA from 1 species
GAUGAACGCUGGCGGCGUGCCUAAUACAUGCAAGUCGAGCGAACAGACGAGGAGCUUGCUCCUCUGACGUUAGCGGCGGACGGGUGAGUAACACGUGGAUAACCUACCUAUAAGACUGGGAUAACUUCGGGAAACCGGAGCUAAUACCGGAUAAUAUAUUGAACCGCAUGGUUCAAUAGUGAAAGACGGUUUUGCUGUCACUUAUAGAUGGAUCCGCGCCGCAUUAGCUAGUUGGUAAGGUAACGGCUUACCAAGGCAACGAUGCGUAGCCGACCUGAGAGGGUGAUCGGCCACACGGGAACUGGGACACGGUCCAGACUCCUACGGGAGGCAGCAGUAGGGAAUCGUCCGCAAUGGGCGAAAGCCUGACGGAGCAACGCCGCGUGAGUGAUGAAGGUCUUCGGAUCGUAAAACUCUGUUAUUAGGGAAGAACAAAUGUGUAAGUAACUAUGCACGUCUUGACGGUACCUAAUCAGAAAGCCACGGCUAACUACGUG